rnacentral:rRNA from 1 species
UACGAAGGGGGCUAGCGUUGCUCGGAAUUACUGGGCGUAAAGGGCGCGUAGGCGGGUCGUUUAGUUAGAGGUGAAAGCCCAGGGCUCAACCCUGGAAUUGCCUUUAAUACUGGCGGCCUUGAGUAUGGCAGAGGUGUGUGGAACUCCGAGUGUAGAGGUGAAAUUCGUAGAUAUUCGGAAGAACACCAGUGGCGAAGGCGACUCUUGGCCUGUAACUGACACUGAGGCGCGAAAGCGUGGGGAGCAAACAG